rnacentral:rRNA from 1 species
AUUGAACGCUGGCGGCAUGCUUUACACAUGCAAGUCGAACGGUAACAGGCCUUCGGGUGCUGACGAGUGGCGAACGGGUGAGUAAUGCAUCGGAACGUGCCCAGAGGUGGGGGAUAACGCAGCGAAAGCUGUGCUAAUACCGCAUGUGAUCUGAGGAUGAAAGCGGGGGACCGGGCAGCAAUGUUUGGCCUCGCGCCUUUGGAGCGGCCGAUGUCAGAUUAGGUAGUUGGGGGGGUAAAGGCCUACCAAGCCGACGAUCUGUAGCUGGUCUGAGAGGACGACCAGCCACACUGGGACUGAGACACGGCCCAGACUCCUACGGGAGGCAGCAGUGGGGAAUUUUGGACAAUGGGCGCAAGCCUGAUCCAGCAAUGCCGCGUGCGGGAAGAAGGCCUUCGGGUUGUAAACCGCUUUUGUACGGAACGAAAAGGCUCUGGCUAAUACCUGGGGCUGAUGACGGUACCGUAAGAAUAAGCACCGGCUAACUACGUG